GGGGAAUUUUGGACAAUGGGCGAAAGCCUGAUCCAGCAAUGCCGCGUGCAGGAAGAAGGCCUUCGGGUUGUAAACUGCUUUUGUACGGAACGAAAAAGCUCCUUCUAAUACAGGGGGCCCAUGACGGUACCGUAAGAAAAAGCACCGGCUAACUACGUGCCAGCAGCCGCGGUAAUACGUAGGGUGCGAGCGUUAAUCGGAAUUACUGGGCGUAAAGCGUGCGCAGGCGGUUAUGUAAGACAGAUGUGAAAUCCCCGGGCUCAACCUGGGAACUGCAUUUUGGACGGCAUGGGUAGAGUACGGUAGGGGGGGAUGGAAUUCCGCGUGUAGCAGUGGAAUGCGUAGAUAUGCGGAGGAACACCGAUGGCGAAGGCAAUCCCCUGGACCUGUACUGACGCUCAUGCACGAAGGCGUGCGGAGCAAACA
rnacentral:rRNA from 1 species